UUUUUUUAUGUUAACAGGAUUAUUAUAUUAAUUUACUUAAAAUGGAGCAUAAGCAAAAAAUGUUAAAAGUUGGAGCAGGGUUAACUCGUCGCAAUGUUAUAGAAAUAAAGUAUAUCUUUGCAGAUAAGAUUGGUGAUGGUGUUCUUGAAAGCAUUAAUGAUGGUCUUGAAAUGAUUAGAGUACUAGAACGUAUUGGCUUUAUUGAUAAAGAUAAUUAUAAAGAAUUAAUUGAUUUACUUGAGAGUUUGGGUAGAAAAGAUCUCAUUUCAAUCAUUGAUCCUCAGUCUCAACAGAAACUAAACUCAAUUAUAAAUCCUACAAGUACAGAUGCAACAUAUAAUGAUGCUUUGACUCCAAAUAUACUUGAUAAGGUUGCAAUUCAACUUGGUACUGAAUGGCUUAGGUUUGGACGCCAUCUUAAUUUGAAAGAUGCUGAUUUAGAUCACAUUGAUGUUGAUUAUAUAAAAACUUAUGACAAGGCCUUUCAGCUUUUAAAACUAUGGAAACAGAAGUCAAAGGAAGGUUGUCUAACCUGGUCCAAAUUAAAAUAUGAACUCCAGCAGUUUAAUCGUAUUGACAUAAUAAGAGAAUUACAAACAGAAUUUAAACAUUUAAAAGAUAAUAAAUAUCUCUUUUCAAUAAACGAUGGACAAGAGUCAAUAACACCUAGUGUUGUCAGAGAAAAUGAGAAUCCUCUCUCAGAAGAAAAUAAAGACAAAUUGUCAAUACCAGAAUCAAUUGUGCAUAAUGAUGUGAGAGAUACGGAUGAAUUGAAUAUCCAAAGUAUUAUAUCUAAGUUAAAAAAAGUAUCAAUACUAGGGUCAUGUGCGUUUGGAAAGGUCCAUCUUUGCGUAGAUGAAAAUACAGGCAAAAAACUAGCAAUGAAAUGUAUUGAGACUGAAAACAUUGAUAAUAAUGUUAAAGUAAAAGAAGAAGUUGAAAAAUUUCAGCAUGAAAUUGUACUUUUUAAAGAAUUAAAUCAUGAACGAAUUGUGAAAUACUAUGGUUCAGAUUAUACCAACACAACAAUCUCUAUUCUAAUGGAAUACAUGGAAGGGGGAUCCCUUUAUGAUAAAAUAUCAAAUAAAGGAGCUUUAGAUGAAAAGACAGCAUCUGAAAAAUCUUAUCAAAUUCUUUGUGGAUUGGAAUACUUGCACAAUAAAAAUAUUGUACAUAGGGACAUUAAAAGUGCCAAUAUAUUGUUAGAUUUAUAUGGGAAUUGUAAGCUUGCUGAUUUUGGUAUAUCAAAACAGAUACAA